CGCUUGCGUAGUUUUGGACAACGAUUCCAACCACCUGUAUGAAUUUCACCGUGUGCGUUAAAUCUACAAUUUUUUGGAAUAUUUCGCGAGGCACUUACAGGCAUGAAAUGUAUUAUAUAUAUACGUACAAUAAUUGCGGGAUAUCGUCGCCACGCGUCGAGCUAAAGUUGUUCAAGUUUCGCGCGCUAAUUAGGUACGCCGUGGAUACGCUGUGACGGUUGCCAACGGCCCUGAGUAAAUUACACGUCUCUUCUUAUGUGUAUACACUUGGUAUUUUCCUACACCGCAAACUACUCGGUUACACGCCCCAUACCUACUGCGUUUCUCAUAUAAUCUCUGAUGCGGCGGGAUAAAACGAGAAAACGAAAUCUCGUUUCUCCCCGCCCGUUUUACGCAGAUAUAUCAUACGUGAAAACGUAUAAAAGCUGCAUCUACGUACGUACGAUGCAGCUUUUUGCUAAUCACCAAUUGCACGAGCAGAUUUCUCAUGUAUCAUGACGUGAUAUGAAUAAAGGAACGCGUCAUUCUCGAAAGGGCCCCACAUGGGCUUGCAAGCUCAUCCAAAACCACAAAAUGUACUACAUACAGCAUUACAUUCCAAAUCGACAGAUCGUAGAAUUAGCCACCUUGAAAAAAAAAUCUUUCGAAGUAACUGGAUUCUCAAAAAAACGGUGUCGUACAUGUUUGUGAGAAUUCUUGAGCAAUUAUCGAUGGUGGACCAAUUUUUUCUCAAUGCCUUCCUCAAAAAAGGUCGAAAAAGUCUCGAAGAAACUAUCGGCUCGCUUUGGCUUGCAUCUUGAGAAUUUUCUGUACCCAAGACCAUGAGACAUAGAAGUUCAAUUUGCUACCAAUCAUUAUCAAGCCAGGUUGGAAAAUUUGAGAUAACUAUAUCAAAUCGGUUGACAGAAGUGAAACAAAGAAACGAAAAAGAAUAGAAAAAAAAAAACUGGGUCGACGAACGCAAGUACGGUAUGGAUUAUAACCCGUGAUCAGCCAGGGAGUAAAUAGGAUUCAUUGAUGGCUAAGCCUGCGGGGUAUAAUCUCGGGGUUUAUAGUAGGUAAUACCUACAACGCGGGGAGAGUGAACCUAGUUUUGUUCGCCGUGAUGAAUCCCCUGCAAAUCUAUCUAAUUAUAAGUGUCUUACAAUCAGUAGUCUUUGACUACGCAACUUGCUUCGGAGGUUUACAAAGGUUUCGCGUUAUUUCAUCACGUGAUGCAUUUCUGUAUACAGGUGUCAAUGUUAUUGCUCUUUGAUAUCAGUAUUCGAUACGUAUGAUAAAAACAGAAAAAAAAAACAGAAAAAAAAAAACAGACAAACGAACAAACAAGCAAACAACCAAAAAACAAAUUAUUACCGAACACGUAUCAUAUACAUUUGAUAUCCGAUAAUAUUCGAGCUAUAGAAUCAUAAUUGGCUCGUAAAACGAUUUGAUAGCCUGAAUUAAAUUAUAUAUAUGUAAUUCGUUAUGAAGCAGCAGGUGCCGGACGAACGAUAAUCGGCAUACAACUCGUACUUAUAUCGACGUGACUUAGGUAUAGUGUUAUUGCUUUGCGGCACGAAGUUUAAUUCUUUUUUUCAACUUUUCUGACUUUUUUUUUUUUUUUCCCCCCUGCAUCGUGAUCGUAUAUCUAGCGUUUAAACACCGUAGCCAACGUAUAAAUAUGUAUGUGUACCUAUAAGCCUAAUCUUUCAGGUGCACGCGCUUCUUUAUCAUAUAUGUAUGUACAGAGGUGUGCAUGGUUAUAGAUAAACGAUAAAUUUUUUCUACAUGUUUCUCGGAAAUGAUAUUGGUAUUAUGUAGAGAUACCCGACGCAAUAUAACGCGGGUCAUUGAUAAAUCUCGGCAUUUUUUUUUUUUCCUCUUUUUCUCUUUUACUCUCAUUUCAGCACUAUCCGUACAUAGGUGUACGUAUCGUGCGUCUGAACGUUGAGGGGUAUUAUUGAUAAAAUUUAACGGCGUGAAACCAAUAUUACAUCAACGCGUGAAUAGGUUUUGUCUAUAAUAACUCACGAACGGAGGUCGGUGGACCAGAGGAACAGAGGAGGAGCAUCGAAGAAGAGGAAGAAGAAGAAAAAAAACUGAAAGAAUGUAUAGCUGCGCGAAAUGAUCGGAAUACCCAAGCCGAUCGCGUUGAAGGUUGGACUAGCUAGACGUUAACACGUUUGUAUAGAGUAUUGAAAUUUAUGAUGCUGAUAAUUGCGUUCGCAGUAUUUUCGUCCCAUAUAGCCCUCAUCGGUGAUCAGGAUAAUACAGAAGCUCGUUUGGUUUAAAAGUGUGUUUCACAUCUACUGGGUGUGCGAGGGUAUUCCGCACCCGUAUAUUACACGCUAUGGUCUGUGUGCGGCGCACGGCAAAAUGCCGUCCAAUUAACAGCAAAUUUGAGCGUUAAGGUCGCAAAGAUUGGCUGACAUUAAUGGUCGGUUUAUGCUGUCCGUCCAGAGCUAAUGCUAAUGAGAGCACAGACCGCGCUAUCCUGCACUUCGACAUGAUCACAAACUUUAAAAAACUACUCGCUUCUCAAGUGUAUAUCGCGUGUCCGACGGACUUACACUCGGGCCGUCCACCGUAAGCGCCAGAACCGGACCCUCUGUGGAACACCGACGAUCCCUGACGACCCGCUCGGGGAUCGGGUUGGGAAGGAAGGAAGGGCGAAUCGGGAUCGGUAAAAAUUCUGGAAAGGCGUGUCCCAGAGGGGGACGCGUUGUUUCCGAUCGAUUUUCACGUAACGAGGAAAGUACUCCGAAACCUGUUUGACAACACAGGACCUCCUUGUCCCUGACGUGUGCUCGUCGUCCCUCCAGCAAAAGCAAAAGCAAAAGGGAAAAGUCAAAAGGCAAAAGGCAAAAGGCGAAAGCAGCGGCGGCAG